rnacentral:rRNA from 1 species
GGUCCAGACUCCUACGGGAGGCAGCAGUGGGGAAUAUUGCACAAUGGGGGAAACCCUGAUGCAGCGACGCCGCGUGAGUGAAGAAGUAUUUCGGUAUGUAAAGCUCUAUCAGCAGGGAAGAAAUAGCGACCUUUGGGUCGCCAGACGGUACCUGAUUAAGAAGCCCCGGCUAACUACGUGCCAGCAGCCGCGGUAAUACGUAGGGGGCGAGCGUUAUCCGGAUUUAUUGGGUUUAAAGGGUGCGUAGGCGGGACGGUAAGUCAGGGGUAAAAAUGCGGAGCUCAACUCCGUCGAGCCGUUGAAACUGCCGUUCUUGAGUGAGCGAGGAGUAUGCGGAAUGCGUGGUGUAGCGGUGAAAUGCAUAGAUAUCACGCAGAACUCCGAUUGCGAAGGCAGCAUACCGGCGCUCAACUGACGCUGAAGCACGAAGGCGUGGGUAUCGAACAGGAUUAGAUACCCCGGUAA